rnacentral:rRNA from 1 species
AUACGUAGGGGGCGAGCGUUGUCCGGAAUUACUGGGCGUAAAGGGUGCGUAGGCGGCCAUAUAAGUCAGGUGUGAAAAACCACGGCUUAACCGAGGUAUUGCACAUGAAACUGUAUGGCUUGAGUACAGGAGAGGAAAGUGGAAUUCCUAGUGUAGCGGUGAAAUGCGUAGAGAUUAGGAAGAACACCAGUGGCGAAGGCGGCUUUCUGGACUGUAACUGACGCUGAGGCACGAAAGCGGGGGGAGCAAACAGGAUGAGAUACCCUGGUAGUCCACGCUGGAAACGAUGGAUAAUAGGUGUAGGGGUUUAAAGACUUCUGUGCCGGAGUUAACGCAAUAAGUAUCCCGCCUGGGGAGUACGGCCGCAGGGCUGAA